rnacentral:lncRNA from 1 species
UUUUUUGCAUAACAAUUUUAAAAGACCUAUUGGAAAUCCUUGGUCUGAAUUCUGAGCUAAGGAGAUCAGAGUCCAUAAUGCCUAGUAUUUUUUUUUUAAUUUCAUCUCAGCUCUAAUGAUUUCCAGGGUGAAGAGUUGGUCAACAUUGAGCAGGAUUCUCUAAGGAAAGAAGAAGAAGAAGACAUGGAGGAUGACCGGGACACACAUCAGAAAGGGUAUUUGGAAAGGAAGUACGAUACAGUUUAUGAUUUUUAUAAAAAACACAAAACCACUAUUCGAUACAUCAUUUGGGGCAUUUUACUGGCAGGUAAAUACCAAAAAGCAAUAGAAAUACCAUUAUAUACAAUAGAAUGGGUA